rnacentral:rRNA from 1 species
AAGCCGCGGUAAUUCCCGCUCCAAUAGCGUAUAUUAAAGUUGUUGCAGUUAAAAAGCUCGUAGUUGAAUUUCGGGAUCAAUAUGCUGGUCGUGCCAUUGGUACGUACUAGUAUUAUUGGUUUCUCCUUUCUGAUGAAUCAUGAUGUCAUUAAUUUGAUGUCAUGAGGAAUCAGGACUGUUACUUUGAAAAAAUUAGAGUGUUUAAAGCAGGCUCGCGCUUGAAUACAUUAGCAUGGAAUAAUGAAAUAGGAUGUUUGAUUCUAUUUUGUUGGUUUCUAGGAUUGACGUAAUGAUUAAUAGGGAUAGUUGGGGGCAUUAGUAUUCAAUUGUCAGAGGUGAAAUUCUUGGAUUUAUUGAAGACUAACUACUGCGAAAGCAUUUGCCAAGGAUGUUUUCAUUAAUCAAGAACGAAAGUUAGGGGAUCGAAGACGAUCAGAUACCGUCGUAGUCUUAACCAUAAACUAUGCCGACUAGGGAUCGGAUGAUGUUAAUUUUUUAAUGACUCAUUCGGCGCCUUACG